rnacentral:lncRNA from 1 species
CUCCUAUUAUUUAAUUAAUCAUCAUGGACAUUUGGGAAUGGGGUCCCAUGUCUAUCCCAUUUGUCUAUGGCCACAAGUAUUUUUUUACCAUUAUAGAUGACUACUAAAGGCACACUUGGUUGUUCUUGAUGAAAUCGAAAUCCGAAACCCAAUGGGCUACUAAUCGGUUGUAUAAAGCUGGCAGAAAUUUGGUUCAGUAGCAGAGUUAAAUCAGACAAAAUGUGAGCUAUAUAUAUAUGUGGCAAUGACAUAGAAACUGUUUGGAAAAUUUUCUUAUAAGAAACACUUAUCAAACUUCCUCAUUUAGCUUAUUUAAAAUUAAUUUUAAAAGCUCAAUCCUAACUUUAUAUUGUUAGGCCUUAUUGUAAGUGACUGUCAUUAUAUCAAGAAACUGUUAUUGAAGGGUACCAUUUGUAUGAAAAGGUAUACGAAGCACAAGUAGAACUACCAACAACAACAGCAGGAAACCACAAACUUAAUCAUACAUUAAGAAAACCAAAGAACGUGAAUAUAUAAUUAUCCACGAAACCUUGCUUGCAGUAUGUGAAGCAUCAGUUUGUAGAACAUCUUCAGCUUUGAGCAUCUUCUUCUUCUUGGUAAUCAUCACCAUCUUCAUAAACUGGGGCAUCCUGGUAUUGUUGAUAUUCAGCAACAAGAUCAUUCAUAUUGCUUUCUGCUUCAGUAAAUUCCAUUUCAUCCAUUCCUUCUCCGGUAUACCAAUGCAAGAAUGCUUUCCUUCUGAACAUGGCAGAGAACUGUUCACUCACUCUCCUAAACAUCUCCUGUAUAGAUGUCGAAUUGCCAACAAAUGUCGAAGCCAUCGAAAGGCCUCUAGGUGGGACAUCACAGACACUGGACUUCACAUUAUUGGGAAUCCAUUCAACGAAGUAAGAAGAAUUCUUGUUCUGCACAUUCAUUACCUGUUCAUCCACUUCUUUUGUGCUCAUUUUCCCUCUAAACACCGCUGAGGCUGUUAAAUAACGGCCAUGGCGUGGAUCCGCCGCACACAUCAUGUUCUUGGCAUCCCACAUCUGUUGUGUAAGUUCUGGUACGGUAAGUGCACGGUAGUUCUGCGAUCCUUGAGAUGUCAGGGGAGCGAAACCCACCAUGAAGAAGUGAAGGCGUGGAAAUGGGAUCAAGUUCACUGCUAGCUUCCGCAGGUCUGAAUUUAGCUGACCCGGGAAUCUUAAGCAACAAGUCACUCCACUCAUUGUUGCUGAGAUCAAAUGAUUCAAAUCUCCAACUGGAAAAAAUUAAUUUGGUAAAUCAUAUUCAAGAACAAAAGAUUUCAUAUAUAAUAUAACAUGAGGUGCUCACUUAAUUAUACUACAUGCGAUCAAUUGCCAUAUAAAUUAAAUUAUAUGUAUCUUAUACUAUAUGUUAUAAUUACUUACAACUUGGUGUGGUGAGUUUGAGGGUCCUGAAGCAGAUGUCAUAGAGUGCUUCAUUAUCAAGGACCAUACACUCAUCGGCAUUCUCCACCAAUUGGUGAACAGAAAGUGUUGCAUUGUAAGGCUCAACAACUGUGUCUGACACCUUUGGAGAUGGAAAGACAGAGAAAGUGAGCAUCAUUCGAUCAGGGUAUUCUUCUCUGAUCUUUGAAAUGAGUAGAGUUCCCAUUCCAGAACCCGUUCCUCCUCCCAAGGAGUGGCACACUUGAAAUCCUAUAUUUAUCAAUCACAAUAACCAACAUCUUUAAAUAAAUUCUGCAUAUUCUUUUAAAUUUUAAUAAAACUUUAUAGUAUUGUGUUUAUCCUAUGAUGUUUGAUUACCUUGCAAGCAAUCACAAUUCUCAACCUCCUUCCUUACAACAUCAAGAACAAAGUCAAUGAGCUCGGCACCCUCAGUGUAAUGACCCUUGGCGAAAUUGUUUCCGGCACCAGACUGUCCAAAUACAAAGUUGUCUGGUCGGAAAAUCUGCCCAUAAGGGCCGGACCGGACAGCAUCCAUGGUGCCAGGCUCAAGGUCCAUCAACACUGCCCUGGGAACAUAACGCCCGUUAGAUCCCUCAUUGUAAUAAACAUUGACUCUUUCGAGUUGUUGAAGUUUGGAGUUCCCUAUAUAUUGUCCUAUGGGGUCAAUCCCGUGCUCAUCGCAUACCGCUUCCCAGAACUUUGUUCCUAUUUGGUUUCCACACUGUCCUCCUUGAAUGUGAAGAAUCUCACGCAUUUUCAACACUAUUAAUCAGCUAACUAACUUAGCAGAGGCAAAAUGGAAACCAAACUGAUUUUUCAGCUGUCAAAUUCUCCCCCUUUACCAGGGCUUGGACUUGGGAGAAGCAAAGGUUGGUUUGGCUGCAUAUAUUUAUAGUGAAGGAUGGAUCAAGUGAACGUGUAAAUGGAAGAAGAAUAAAAGAGUUACAUAUGACUUGAUUGCCCUUGGAAAAUGAAGGGUGAGGAUGAGAUCACACAGUGGAGGAUUGCUGAGAGAUGGAAGGAAUCAAAUGUUAAAGUUGAAUGAAUCAAUGAUUGCCACAUGUAGGCUGUUGCUUGCAAAACCGCCGGCCUUUUCAACAUCGCUAAAAAUGUCCAUUUCUCAUCAUUAUAUUUUAUGUAGUACUAAUAGUAAGGAAUAAGGAAUUGUAUGGUAAUGGCAAAUACCACUUGAUAAUAAGUUAUUAAGUUUAUUUUCAAUAUGCU